CAGCCGCCGCGGUAAGACAGAGGAUGCAAGCGUUAUCCGGAAUGAUUGGGCGUAAAGCGUCUGUAGGUGGCUUUUCAAGUCCGCCGUCAAAUCCCAGGGCUCAACCCUGGACAGGCGGUGGAAACUACCAAGCUAGAGUAUGGUAGGGGCAGAGGGAAUUUCCGGUGGAGCGGUGAAAUGCGUUGAGAUUGGAAAGAACACCAACGGCGAAAGCACUCUGGUGAGCCGACACUGACAUUGAGAGACGAAAGCUAGGGGAGCAAAUGGGAUUAGAUACCCGCGUAGUCCCUGUCUCUUAUAC
rnacentral:rRNA from 1 species